GUGCUCGCUUCAGCCGCACAUGUGCUAAAACUGGAACUACACAGAGAAGAUUAUCAUGGCCUUGGCACAAAGAUGGCACCCGAAGUCAUUAAAUGUUCCCGAUUUUA